AAAAUAUCAAUUGAGACUUGGAAAAUAUUCUGGUAAGUCAAUAGGCAAAUACAAACAAUUAAAGCACACAAAAUUCUAAAGGAACUGCUGGGGAUUCAUUAUCCGCCCAUAAAAACAAAGCGUUUACGACAAAAGAUUCAGAUAACGAUACAGAUGUUGUCGGAAACUGCGCUGUACAUGCUAAAGGUGCUUGGUGGUAUUAUUAUUGUUAUGAUUCCAACCUAAAUGGGUAUUAUUAUCAUGGCAAUUAUCAGCCUUCUGCAUCUUGGUACAAAGGUGUUGUUUGGAAAGAUUGGAAAGGAUUUUCGUAUUCUUUAAAAUUCACUGAAAUGAAAAUGAAACCAUCAGGAAAUUUUUA